CCUACGGGUGGCAGCAGUGGGGAAUAUUGCACAAUGGGGGAAACCCUGAUGCAGCGACGCCGCGUGAGCGAUGAAGUAUUUCGGUAUGUAAAGCUCUAUCAGCAGGGAAGAAAAUGACGGUACCUGACUAAGAAGCCCCGGCUAACUACGUGCCAGCAGCCGCGGUAAUACGUAGGGGGCAAGCGUUAUCCGGAUUUACUGGGUGUAAAGGGAGCGUAGACGGCGAUGCAAGCCAGAUGUGAAAGCCCGGGGCUCAACCCCGGGACUGCAUUUGGAACUGUAUAGCUGGAGUGUCGGAGAGGCAGGCGGAAUGCGCAGUGUAGCGGUGAAAUGCUUAGAUAUUGCGCAGAACUCCGAUUGCGAAGGCAGCAUACCGGCGGCGAUCUGACGCUGAGGCACGAAAGCGUGGGUAUCGAACAGGAUUAGAUACCCCAGUAGUC
rnacentral:rRNA from 1 species